rnacentral:rRNA from 1 species
GAUGAACGCUGGCGGCGUGCCUAAUACAUGCAAGUCGAGCGAACAGACGAGGAGCUUGCUCCUCUGACGUUAGCGGCGGACGGGUGAGUACACGGUGAUUAACUUACCAUAAGGACGGGAAUACCUCGGGAAACCCGAACCAAUACCGGAUAAUAUAUUUGACCGCAUGGGUUCAUAGUGAAAGACGGUUUUGCCUGUACCUAUAACUGGAUCCGCGCCGCAUUAGCUAGUUGGUAAGGUAACGGCCUACCAAGGCAACGAUGCGUAGCCGACCUGAGAGGGUGAUCGGCCACACUGGAACUGAGACACGGUCCAGACUCCUACGGGAGGCAGCAGUAGGGAAUCUUCCGCAAUGGGCGAAAGCCUGACGGAGCAACGCCGCGUGAGUGAUGAAGGUCUUCGGAUCGUAAAACUCUGUUAUUAGGGAAGAACAAAUGUGUAAGUAACUAUGCACGUCUUGACGGUACCUAAUCAGAAAGCCACGGCUAACUACGUG